GAUGAACGCUAGCGGCAGGCUUAAUACAUGCAAGUUGAGGGGCAGCAUGAUAUACGCGAGUAUAUUGAUGGCGACCGGCGGACGGGUGAGUAAUAGGUAGGAGACCUACCUCAUACAGGGGGAUAGCAUAGAGAAAUCUGUGGUAAUACCCCAUGAGGUUAUAUGAAUAGAGGCAUAUAAUCAAAGCAUAAGCGAUUAUGCGGUAUGAGAGGGGCCUACUGACCAUUAGCUAGUUGGUGAGGUAAGGGCUCACCAAGGCGAAGAUGGUUAGGGGUUUUGAGAGAGAGACCCCCCACAUUGGAACUGAGAGACGGUCCAGACUCCUACGGGAGGCAGCAGUAGGGAAUAUUGGGCAAUGGGCGAAAGCCUGACCCAGCCAUGCCGCGUGAAGGAAGACGGCCUUAUGGGUUGUAAACUUCUUUACUACGCGAAUAGAGGUUAGUACGAGAUACUAAUAGGAAGUAGUGUAGUAAAAGCACCGGCUAACUCCGUGCC
rnacentral:rRNA from 1 species